CGGGUGCUGUCCCUCACGUCACGGGCCCAAAUCCUGGUGGCCUAUUCAUUCUCGCGGGAGCUGGCUCUGUUUCGGGUCGUGGCCUGAAGCACCCGGCGCCCACCUGGUAUUCCAGGCUCGCGAGGAUUGGAUGCCUGGACGGUCGCGACGGGCCCGCC
rnacentral:misc_RNA from 1 species